AUGCGUACAGAGAGAAGUGUACUGAAACUGCCGAUGCGGUUUGCGAAUGUGCCGCUGGAUAUUCAUGCGGGAAAGACUGUGAGGCGUGUGAAUGCCCCCUUGGACAGCAGCGCACUCCUCAAGGUUGCCAGAAUUGUCCUGAACAGACCUUUAAUGACCAGCGUACAGGUGGAUGCCACCCAUGGAGAAAAUGUCCAGAUGAUAAGAUUUGGAAACCCGGGACAAAGGAGCGAGAUGUGAUUUGCUGGUCUGGGUCAGAAAGCCUCACCACACAGUCCUCCACUUCCCUGUCUAUCUUCUCUACUAAGA